rnacentral:rRNA from 1 species
GACGAACGCUGGCGGCGUGCUUAACACAUGCAAGUCGAACGAAGUGGCGAACGGGUGAGUAACGCGUAAUCAACCUGCCCUUCAGAGGGGGACAACAGUUGGAAACGACUGCUAAUACCGCAUACUGAGGGAGGGGAUUGCGUCUGAUUUGCUAGUUGGGGGGGUAACGGCCCACCAAGGCGAGGAUCAGUAGCCGGUCUGGGAGGAUGAACGGCCAAAUUGGGACUGGGACCCGGCCCAGACUCCUACGGGAGGCAGCAGUGGGGAAUCUUCCGAAAUGGGGGAAAGUCUGACGGAGCAACGCCGCGUGAGUGAUGACGGGCUUCGGGUUGUAAAGCUCUGUUAAUCGGGACGCGGUACCGGAAGAGAAAGCCACGGCUAACUACGUGCCAGCAGCCGCGGUAAUUC